CUAAGUUCCGUAGGGAACCUGCGGAAGGAUCAUUGCACACACAAGUUGCAGCCAACCCGCGGCGAACGAACACAUUGUCCCCCCUUCGGCGGGUCGGUGGCGCCUCGCGGCGUCGCGGCGCGCCGUCUCCCCUCGUCACGCGAGCGCGAGCUUCGUGGCGUCGGGUUUCCACACGAUGCAUCACCCGAAUGACUGAGUCCCGAAUAUACUUGGAUGGAGGAGUGGGUGCGUUGCGUCUCCUGGAGCGAGCGGGCUUUGGCUUGCGAACUCGAGGUAUGCGUGGCGCGCCGGUUACCUUUCGACGAGUUGAAACAUAACCAAAAACAACUCUCAGCAACGGAUAUCUUGGCUCUUGCAACGAUGAAGAACGCAGCGAAAUGCGAUACGUAGUGUGAAUUGCAGAAUUCCGCGAAUCAUCGAGUCUUUGAACGCAAGUUGCGCCCGAGGCUUGUCCGAGGGCAUUUCCGCUAGAGCGUCACCGCGCCCCCCACCGAUCCACUCUCGCCGCGAGGCGCAAGUCGGGUCGAGUGCAAGUGGCCGUCCCGGCGAAGUGGCCUUCUUUCACGAGAAGGCCGUUCUUGGAAGGGUCGGCUGAAAUGGAUGGAAUCGAGCCGCCGUGGUGACACAGUCCGCGAUCGGGUGAUUUUGUCGCGAGCCUCCUCCGGGAGGCUCUUGGUGAAUUUUUCUAAGUGCUUGGCUGCGUCCCCCAGUUGGCUUUGGUUACCUCAUGCAGGUCGAGCGCGCCCCCGCGGCGCGCGUCACGCAUCAGACCUCUAAUCGAAAGAA
rnacentral:rRNA from 1 species